GACUAACGGGAAGGAGCCUGAGCUGCU
rnacentral:piRNA from 1 species